CUUACUCAUUAAACACAUAAGAGGUUAAGACAGUUUUGUUUCGUAUGAGAAAAUAGUGUAAAAAAGAGACGAUAGAUUUCAGUCCAAAAGUUCUUUCUUGACCGAAUAAUAUGAAAUUAUAUUUUGAUUGAGAUCUGCAACUUGCGUAGAGUAAGAAUGUUUAAUAAAAUUUCACUCAACACACAUAGAUUACAUGUCUGAUUAAUUGUAAGAUCCACAUGAGUGAGUGACUUAAAAGUUAACCAUAAUCUUGGAGUACCCUUGUCUCAAGAAUAAAUCAAAUUAAGACUAAUUAAUUAUCACCCUGAACACCAUUGCAUAAAACAAUAUGAAUUUCAGUACGUUAAAUAAGAACAAACAUAUUAAAAUUAUACAAUUAAGAAACUAUAUAUGGUACUGACACUGGAAUCAA
rnacentral:lncRNA from 1 species